rnacentral:lncRNA from 1 species
AUGUGUUUGAGCCUAGGAGACACAACGAUCCUAUACUAUAUAUUAGAGCCCAUCUUACUGAUUUCUAUUUCACAUAACAACCAUAUUCAGGGAAAACGGACAUGUAAACGUGAGCUGAAUGCUAUGCAGAGGCACAUUCCUCUUACCCGGAUGGUCUUUAGUGGUGCAGUAAGAGAUGCGGUCAUAGCAACGUUAGUUGAAUUUCCAUGGCAACAGGAAUUUGGCACCUCUGAUGAGUUAGAUCUCCCUGCACAGCUCCUAGCAGGGUUGCCCAUUUCUGUGUGGUGUCUGUACGUUCUUGCUGUGGAAAUAAGUGAUAGCACCUGCACAAACACUUGCCUGGAAAUGCGCAUGAAGCUGGUGAAAGCAGAGGACAGGCGAGAGAGAAGCACGGCUCAGCCCUGGCAAAGGAGACGGUUAUUUCAAAUGCGGGAGAUUCAGGAACCACGAUCCUUGGGAAGACUGGUGAUGUCUGUAGAUCUCACCUCUGUCGGGUUGUCUCUGUGCAGUCAGUUACCGGAGCCGUCAGAACCGCAUGUAUCUAUACAACCUGGCGUUUGGCCGUGGCUUCCAGGACAGGCUGGAUGCAGAGUGAAGUCCUCUCCUCACUGUCAAUGUUUGCAGAUGUCUUCUUGUAUAAACUUCGUAUUUCUUGAGACUUUCAAUUAGGUUUUUACUUAACUGGACUUUUAAAAUUGCCAUGCACAUAACUCUACCAGUUAGAAUCUUGAGCUAACAUGGGUUUUUGGUUUUUGGUUUUUGGUUUUACUUUGAUGAAUGUUUAACAUUUGCAUGCUGGAUGUGGGGGUGGAGGUCAUUUAUCUGCUUUUCAUUGCCUUCUUGGUUAUACUUAGUGACUUUCAGGUAAGGUGUGGAAGGCGUGGUACAGGGUGAAUUGCAGGCCGCACUGUGGCGCCGUGGAGGACAGGUGCGGGCUGCAGUGGUGUGCACAGUGGAUGAGAGACAAGAGAGACUUCCAUCCUUGAGGGA